rnacentral:rRNA from 1 species
UACGGGGGGAGCAAGCGUUGUUCGGAUUUACUGGGCGUAAAGGGCGCGUAGGCGGCCACCGCAAGUCAAUUGUGAAAUCUCCGGGCUUAACUCGGAAAGGUCAACUGAUACUGCGGGGCUAGAGUGCGGAAGGGGCAACUGGAAUUCUCGGUGUAGCGGUGAAAUGCGUAGAUAUCGGAAGGAACAUCAGUGGCGAAAGCGGCUUCCAUGGACCAGUACCGACGGUCAGGCACG